AUCAAAUUGUAUAUUUUUAGAUUGUAACUAUUUGUGUAUGUAUAUCUUUUUUCAAUAUAUUCGAUGUUGGAAUAUUUUCUACUCAACAGCUGUGAUGGAUUUUUCAAACCUGUAGACAAUCCUUUAAGGCAUCUCUUUUAUCUCGAAUAGAUGAAUCUAUCCAUAUUUGUUUGACCUUCUUUAACCAGGUUUCAUCAAGGGAAUUAGUUCAUUAUUUACUAUGCCAAUGGUAUCAAGGUAAUCCUAUUGUUUGGCAAAUCAUACUCGUACCAGCAGGAGGUGCAAGAUGACGAAAUACUUCUUUUUACGUUUGGGACGAUUAGAGCCAAAAAACACCGUCUGUUUGAACUCAAAAAUGAAGAGGAAAAAUAUCAAAAAUUGAUCACUACCCAACUGCGUGAAGGUAGCAAAUUUUUCCAAUUUUUCCGUCUUUCUGUUGAACAAUUCGACUUCGUGCUAGGAUUAAUCAAAGACGUAUCUACAAAGAAUUAUAACAUCCGAUGAAAAACUUGCUAUUACAUUAAGUUUCUAGACACCAGAGAUAUUUAUACAGCCACCAGAUCCAAACGUCCUUACUGGACUCUGCCGACGAGGACCAAGGGGGAAGUUGAAAUUAUAAACAACUAUGUAUAAAAUGUAUGACUUAGUUUUUGUAUUGAAUGCAAAUAA